UACGGAGGGUGCGAGCGUUGUCCGGAAUCACUGGGCGUAAAGGGCGCGUAGGCGGCUACUUAAGCGUGUGGUGAAAGUCUGGGGCUCAACCCCGGAUCGGCCGUGCGAACUGAGUGGCUCGAGCACUGUAGAGGCAGGUGGAAUUCCGGGUGUAGCGGUGGAAUGCGUAGAGAUCCGGAAGAACACCGGUGGCGAAGGCGGCCUGCUGGGCAGUGGCUGACGCUGAGGCGCGAAAGCGUGGGGAGCAAACAGG
rnacentral:rRNA from 1 species